UGAUCCUGGCUCAGAUUGAACGCUGGCGGCAGGCUUAACACAUGCAAGUCGAGCGGAGAGAGGUAGCUUGCUACUGAUCUUAGCGGCGGGCGGGUGAGUAAUGCUUAGGAAUCUGCCUAUUAGUGGGGGACAACAUUUCGAAAGGAAUGCUAAUACCGCAUACGUCCUACGGGAGAAAGCAGGGGAUCUUCGGACCUUGCGCUAAUAGAUGAGCCUAAGUCGGAUUAGCUAGUUGGUGGGGUAAAGGCCUACCAAGGCGACGAUCUGUAGCGGGUCUGAGAGGAUGAUCCGCCACACUGGGACUGAGACACGGCCCAGACUCCUACGGGAGGCAGCAGUGGGGAAUAUUGGACAAUGGGCGCAAGCCUGAUCCAGCCAUGCCGCGUGUGUGAAGAAGGCCUUAUGGUUGUAAAGCACUUUAAGCGAGGAGGAGGCUACUUUAGUUAAUACCUAGAGAUAGUGGACGUUACUCGCAGAAUAAGCACCGGCUAACUCUGUGCCAGCAGCCGCGGUAAUACAGAGGGUGCAAGCGUUAAUCGGAUUUACUGGGCGUAAAGCGCGCGUAGGCGGCUAAUUAAGUCAAAUGUGAAAUCCCCGAGCUUAACUUGGGAAUUGCAUUCGAUACUGGUUAGCUAGAGUGUGGGAGAGGAUGGUAGAAUUCCAGGUGUAGCGGUGAAAUGCGUAGAGAUCUGGAGGAAUACCGAUGGCGAAGGCAGCCAUCUGGCCUAACACUGACGCUGAGGUGCGAAAGCAUGGGGAGCAAACAGGAUUAGAUACCCUGUAGUCCAUGCCGUAAACGAUGUCUACU
rnacentral:rRNA from 1 species